ensembl:snoRNA SNORD36 Small nucleolar RNA SNORD36
CAGCUAUGAUGACCUGAAUUUCUUCACCUGAACAACCAUGUGGUUUCUAAUGAGCUUUUUAACCCUGAGCAAA